rnacentral:rRNA from 1 species
CUAGCUCAGGAUGAACGCUGGCGGUAUGCCUAACACAUGCAAGUCGUACGGAAAAGAAAUUUUUAGUGGCGAACGGGUGAGUAACGCGUGAGAAUUUGCUUCUAGGUAGAGGAUAACCAAUAGAAAUAUUGGCUAAAACUCUAUAAUUCUAUUAAAAAAAUAGCUAAAAAAAGAAAUUUGCCUAGAAAAAAGACUCGCGUCUGAUUAGCUAGUUGGUAAGGGAAAGGCUUACCAAGGCGACGAUCAGUAGCUGAUUUGAGAGGAUGAUCAGCCACACUGGAACUGAGACACGGUCCAGACUCCUACGGGAGGCAGCAGUGAGGAAUUUUCUGCAAUGGGCGAAAGCCUGACAGAGCAAUACCGCGUGAGGGAAUAAGAAGGCCUAUGGGUUGUAAACCUCUUUUCUCAAAGAAGAAGAUCUGACGUUAUUUGAGGAAUAAGCAUCGGCUAACCCUGUGCCAGCAGCCGCGGUAAGACAGGGGAUGCGAGUGUUAUCCGGAAUUAUUGGGCGUAAAGCGUCUGUAGGUUGAAUUCAAAGUCUUUUGUAAAAUCUUUAAGCUCAACUUAAAAACCGCAAAAGAUACUAGUUUUCUUGAGUAUGGUAGAGGUAAAGGGAAUUUCCAGUGGAGCGGUGAAAUGCGUAGAGAUUGGAAGGAACACCAAAAGCGAAGGCACUUUACUGGGCCAUUACUGACACUGAGAGACGAAAGCUAAGGGAGCAAACGGGAUUAGAUACCCCGGUAGUCUUAGCAGUAAACCAUGGAUACUAGAUGUUGUAAAUAUUUACAGUGUCGUAGUUAACGCGUUAAGUAUCCCGCCUGGGAAGUAUGCUCGCAAGAGUGAAACUCAAAGGAAUUGAU